UGCGUUUCAUUUAUCGUCUUCAUGAACCAGGCAAUGUUUCUAGGGUUUGUCUCUUAUUCUGUCUUCAACACCAAAACAUUUCUUCUGUGUUCUGAAACCAAAACGAUGGACUGGCGAGGCGGAGAGAAAAAUAUAGAACGGCUGAGAGAUCAGAUAUUGUGAUGCGUUUUAGAAGCAUGGUCUGGAAAUCUUCUACGAGGGCUGACUUUAUCUCCGGAGAUAGCUCGAUGGGUUCGAUCACAUGCUCUGUUCUGUAAUUUGUUUCUUCGUUGAGGUUGAAUCGAAGAACAGAGGUCGGAGACCAGAGGCUCUGUAGUGGAUUUGUUUACCAUCAUCUACCUUUUUUUCUGAAACUUUACCAUCAUCUACCUUUCAACAACUUUUCGAUUUGUUUUAUCUUUGCCAAUGGGGUUGGGAAUCAUAAUAUGAUAUGACUUAUUUGAUACUCUUCCUACUUAUUCUCUUUUAUGCUUCAGUUGCGGGAUCAGUUGCGGGAUUCAGUGAGAAAAUAAUAAUUUUGGUUUUGAUUCAUCAAUCGAAGAUUCAUAUUUUGAUUUUUGUGUGUUUUUGCUUUUUUUUCUCUUAGUAUUAGGAUUAUUGUGACUUAACAACAAUGUGAUAAUGGGAGCAUCUGAAGGAAGAAGAGCAAUAGAGCAUUGUAACAAAGAACAUCACGUCGUGCUUUGUUUUUUUUCUGAAACUUUUUUUUUUUAAAAGGUUGGUCAAAUGGUGAAUAAAUAAACCAAGUGAGCUUACUGCUACGUGGGGAGUCCAGUUUCACAUCAAUGGGUUAAAAUCCCUCCACCUCCCUCUGAUCCUCAAGGUGAUUCUAGGUACCGUAUAUGGUUUAAUGACUCGCUUGGACGAGGACGGUGUCGUUUUGAGCUUUAAAGUGAUUAGGAUAGCUUCUUCGAGUUGAUUCACACGCCCGCGAUUAGCUAUCUAAAGCAAUUUAACAGGGAUGGAGUUCUGCUUUUAAGGAGAUUAGAUUCAAGAUUGUCUAAAGACUUACCCUCUGAUCUCCAGAAGCUCCGUUGUAAGGCAGCGUUUGAAGCACUGAAGUUCUCGCCAAGGGUUAUGGAGAUAUGGAAGAAGCUUGCAGAAAGGAUGAGGAGCAAAUGUCCUUACAUUGCCCUUCAUCUUCGACUUGAGAAAGACGUGUGGGUGAUAACAAGCUGCCUUACUGGUUUGAGCUCAAAGUAUGAUGAGAUUGCAAGACUAGAAGGGAUUAAGCGGCCUGAGCUCUUAACAGCCAAAUCUAGCAUGACACCUAAUGAGAGGAAACUUGCAGGUCUCUGUCCGUUAAAUGCCAAGGAAGUUACAAGGUUAUUGAGUGAGCUACUGUUUUUCUUUACAACAAAUACGAUAUUGUACUGCCCCAUGAACUCAAACCUUUCGCAAAACGAGCUUCGAUAAUGGCAGCAAUCGACUAUAUAGUAUGCAAGGAGAGUGAUGUGUUCAUGGCAUCUCAUGGAGGAAACAUGGGCUGCGCAAUUCAGGGUCACAGAGCUUAUGAAGGACAUAAGAAGCUUAUAACACCAAACAAAAGGCAAAUGCUCCCAUACUUUUUGAACAAAACAAUGACUGAGACAGAGUCUGAGAAGAUGAUGAAGAAAUUUCACAGUCAAUCUCUAGGACAGCGAGAGAUAAGGGUUAGCAAAGCUGGAAGAGUUGUUACAAAGUAUCCUGUUCCUGAGUGUAUGUGCAUUAAUAAUC